GGGAAAGAAGUCAUUGCAUGAUAUUCUAGUCCCAGAUGUUUGGGUUAUUUGAGAAAAUAGCGUUUGAAUAUGCCAUGGUUUUUACUAAGAAGCGUUUCACUUCCCUAAACUUGUGUGCAUGUGUAUUUAUAUUCGAUUUAAAAAAAAUAUCCGUCGUCUGAUUUGGGUAAUUAAGGCCAUACCAUUCUCCUAAUUCACGACCAAAACCAC
rnacentral:misc_RNA from 1 species